rnacentral:misc_RNA from 1 species
UGCCGAUAGCGUUGUGACUAUGGGCAAAACACAUGAGUUAACGCCAUUUUUGGCUCGAACUUGUGGAGGCCUAUGUCCAGUAGAGGACUGUGAUAGGCUGAUGUGAUGAUAGUAUUUUAUAAUAAAUGCAUAAAGUUAUGUUAACUAAGGGUUAAAAAAAUAACGAAUAAGCAUUAAUAAAAAUAAUUUAUUUCUCACUUUUAAACUUACAAAACAAAAAAACUUUUUUUAAGUCACAAGAUUUAAAAAAAAAUUGUGCUGCAGUACUAUUUCAACAAAAACUUUUUCAUCAACAACAUUUUGUAUAUCUUGUUUAAGUUCAAACUGUUUAAAUUUUCAAAGAUAUAAGAAUAUAAAAUAAACCCUUUGCGUAGUAGGUACUAGAAAAUGGCGCGAAAUAUGAACGCUUAUACAAGCAAGGCACAGUGAAUCUUCAUUAAAAUGUGUAUUAGUUGUUUUUCGAAGGCAUAAAACGUAUUCGAAAAGCGUUAUAUUCUCUUCUGAGUGCUUUUGUUACUUCUACUUUUAAAGCUCUAAGUACUUCUUCCAUUUGUUCUUUAUUUUCUGAAUCGCGCGCAAGGACUAAUCUCUCCAUGGUGGCGAAAUCUAAUUCCUCAACUCUUUCAGCCGCAUCAGUUAAUCGAUCAUAAUCUCUCAAAUAAUUCCGAAAAGAUGAACUGUCUUCAUCCUUGUGAAUGAGUAAUCUUUCAAUAUUUUCCCAAAGAUCGAGCGCCCGACGACCGCUUCUCAUGUUGCUUGAAAACAUGAAGUUUCUAAACAAUCGACGCCCCUUUUCAUCGUUGAGAACAUUUUCAAUUUUAUCCGUAUAUCGGUCUAAAUCCGAUUUUGUCACGCCUUCAAGAUCAUCACAGCCGCAGACGGUAAAACAUUUAUCCAUAUUUUUGUCAUUUAUAUGUUAUCAUAAUUGCUUCCAUGUUUCUUAUCGAUUUAAUAUUUUGACAUUACACGACAAUCGAUACGUCCUAGAUACACAUCAGUACAUGCCAAAGUAAUUUAAUUCCUGGUAAUAAUGACAUUACACAUCCUUCACUAUAUUAAUGGUAUAAAACACAAACGAAUCUAUGAAUCACCUUAAUCUUACUAAAAAGAAGUGAGGUUAACUUUGCUCAAAAAUAGGUUUACAUCACUCACGACUCACGAGCGAACCGUUUUCAAACGCAAAUAAACUACACUUGUGUGCAUCGUCUACGUUUCACAAGUUCACGACACCUUGAUAACAGUAUUAUACGCAUGCGUAAAAUUUUGUAUCACAGAAUAAGUACUAAAGAUUUAUUCCGUAUUAUGAAGUUGAUUAACAAGUGGACGGAAAUGUAUCUAAAAUUUCGAGGUGAAUGUAUCACGACGACAUUACAUCACGUCAGGUAAAAAACACGUCUUGACCUCGAAUCGCGGCAUUCAUUCAUGGGAAAUAUCAGGGCAGAGCGAAAACAAUAGACUCGCCCUCUGAAUAAUCGCACGACUCCUGUCUUAUUUGGAAUAACAAAUAUCUCGGAAAACAUAAUUGGAAAUUUAUUCGAAGUACAAUGAUCUAGGAACUACAAGAAUGGUUUUGCACUUAAUCCACUACGCUGCUCCAAUGCGGGUUGGCGGAUAUAUUCCCUAUUAUUAGUAACGAUCGUUGUCCAGGUGUACAUGAUAACGACCGGGACCGAUGGCUUAACGUGCUCUCCGAGGCACGGUGGCGAGACCCACAAGGACUGCACAUACACCCAGACCACAGCAAACAUCUGCAUGGCCAAUACAAACGUUUGUCAUGUGCGGGAUAGAACCCGCAACCUUAAGCGCAAUAGCCACAAACCAGUGCUGUGACCGUUGCGCCAACGCGUCG